GCCCAUCUAGCUCAGUUGGUAGAGCACGUCCUUGGUAAGGACGAGGUCGGCGGUUCAAUCCCGCUGGUGGGCU
rnacentral:tRNA from 1 species